rnacentral:rRNA from 1 species
GACGAACGCUGGCGGCGUGCUUAACACAUGCAAGUCGAACGAAGAGCGACGGAAGCUUGCUUCUAUCAAUCUUAGUGGCGAACGGGUGAGUAACGCGUAAUCAACCUGCCCUUCAGAGGGGGACAACAGUUGGAAACGACUGCUAAUACCGCAUACGAUCUAACCUCGGCAUCGAGGAUAGAUGAAAGGUGGCCUCUACAUGUAAGCUAUCACUGAAGGAGGGGAUUGCGUCUGAUUAGCUAGUUGGAGGGGUAACGGCCCACCAAGGCGAUGAUCAGUAGCCGGUCUGAGAGGAUGAACGGCCACAUUGGGACUGAGACACGGCCCAGACUCCUACGGGAGGCAGCAGGGGGGAAUCUUCCGCAAUGGACGAAAGUCUGACGGAGCAACGCCGCGUGAGUGAUGACGGCCUUCGGGUUGUAAAGCUCUGUUAAUCGGGACGAAGGGCCUUCUUGCGAAUAGUGAGAAGGAUUGACGGUACCGGAAUAGAAAGCCACGGCUAACUACGU